GAUUUUAUGGAUCAAAUUUUUCCGAACAGGAGGAAGCAAUCCGACCCGGUAAGGGUUUUCGAGUUGCAAUCACAACGACGGGAAGCGAAGCGACCUCUUCUCCUCUUCUUUCUUCGCCAUCGCCGCCGCUAGGCGACUGCCCCUCCGCCUCCGGCCACUAGCUUCUGUCCAAGAGAGCUCCUUCCCGGGGAAGACGCGUAUUCCAAGGACGGAGGACUGAUUCAGAUAAAGAAUCACAACUGUUCGAUUUGCUGAUGGAACUGUGCUCGUAUUGUUCGUAACACAAACGGACUAAGAUUUCUGCUUCCCAGCUUUCUGCCAUCUUACAACUGGUUGCAGUCCACACAAUGGGCAGCCUGUAUUUUCUGCAUUGACAUGGCGACGACAUAUAUAGUUAGUCAUUUUCUCAAUUAGGGCUGGAUUCUUGACUGCAAUGGCUUCCUGUCUGACUCAAUUUGGCAAUGUGCUUAGCAAGAAAGUCAUGGUCAAGAAAGAGGUCAUAAAUCUUGACAGAUGAAUAUGAAUGCAACAUAACAUUAGUUUUUUAGUUAAUUUCGAACAUUUCUUGUGGUAAUUCGUUUUUUUAUUACAGCAAUCGUUAGACACAUAAAUCUCUUCUCAAUCUGCAAUAUUAUUUUUGAAGGGAAUGCAAUCUUCUAUAUGCUGUAAGUGUACCUUGGAAAUAUAAUCUUUUAUAGAUUUUGAAUAAGUUUGAUUGGAUGAGAAUAUAGGAAGAAGAGGGGGAGAGAGGAAAAGACUCAUAAAAUUGCUUAAGAAGAUGAAUCAUUUGUGAGUCACUUACCCUUCCUCUCCUAUCUUUCCACCCAGGUAGUACACCCAUCCUUACCAUUAAGUCUGACGUGGAUGGCCACCUUCCAACUUUAGUACGCAACGGAGUGGAGUCUUGUAAUAAGUUUGCAGUGUGCAGUUACUAAUAGAAAUCUAUGAGUUUUUCAUAUCUUCUCCUUAUUUUCUUUAGUUACUGCUUAAAUUCCGCAAGUAAAAAAUCCUGGUAUCAAAGCAUUGGUUAUUAAAGAUAUGGCUGUAGCCUAAGUUAGUUAGGGUCAGGGUAUUCAUGGGGAAAAGGUAAGGGGUAACCGUAUCUAUCUCAUAGAGAAACCCUAACUGGGUCAAAGGCAUUCCCAUCUGCUUGAAACCUCAAAAGUAAAAACUCAUAUUGGCAAAAGGCGAAGGGCAAGUCCAGUGAACCCCGGAGAUGAGCCGAGAAGAGUGAUUAACUAAUGAAGAAUUAAGCAGUAGGGGUAUGUCUGAAACCUGGGAAAGGGCUAUCCAGGAGUGGUAUGAUCAUUCCCGAACCUCAAACCUAGAGUACCUUGACCUUGCCUCCACUACCAAAGUCAGUCUCAACCAUUUAGCUCACAACCUAGCAGUAGUAUACGAUAGAACCUGCCUAUCCUCCUGAGUGAACCUCAAAAAUUUUAAAACCAUCCUAGAAAGGGGUCAAGUUCUUGAAAGAGAAAUUUCCAAGUUAAGGGUUGCUCUGAAGAAUCUUACAACUGUGUUUUUUUUAAAAUAAGCUCUUGACAAAGCAGGAAGUAAGAGAACUUGUGGCAGAAAUUGCUAAACAACCAAAGCUCGUUAAAGAGGAAGCCCUUAAGCUUACUGAAGACCUCAACAAGAAGUUAGAAAGAGCAGAAAAACUCCUCCAUCGAAUUGAAAGGUGGACCACCGCAUGAGCAACUACGUCAUCACAAAAAAUACACAUACCUAUAAAGUGGCGGUUCAAGCAACAGAAUCCAUUGAAUCUCCUGCUAUUGGUUUUGCGAAGCCAAGCGAAUAUCAAGGAGCUUUCUCAGGCAACUCUGCAGUUAUUAAACAAAAUACUACACAACUUUAGCUUUUGAUGCAGAUUGCUAAAACCUUGAAGGACAUCCAGUCUGAUCUAAAGACGGUGGUUGAACAAACUAAGAAAGGAAGCGGCAGCACAACAACAGCUAUUCCAGACUCACUAAUUGAAAAGUUGCGAGGACUAACUCUUGGAGCCCAAGAGAAGCCAAAGGAAGGAAAAGGAAAACUGCGAGUUUACAAAGAUCCCUUCAAAAUCCUCAAGGAAGAACAAGAAAAGCUAAAGGGGUAAUGAUGACCUCAAGACCUUCAAUCUCAGAAAGGACAACACAACGGGAGCAGGCGUUAUUUGAGGAUCAAAUUAGAAGAUAUUAGGGCAAAGAUGCCUAUUUAAUGCAAGAAGAAUGAUGAGAAGAUUCACUGGAGGUCGUUAUAAUCAGACUCUGGAAUAGCAGGUAAAUUUAGAAGCUCAACUUCAGCUUUCCAUGAAGGAAAGGGUAAACCUAGUACCGCCAGAAGUGCUAUACAGAUUCAGAAGAGAUGAUGCAGACCAUAGGGUCUACAUACAUGGAUCGGAGGAAGCCAUAAGUUGUAUAGAUGGCCAGCAGAUAGACAGAAGUGUAAUACAACCAGAAAGUUUUAAGGAACUGCGACAAAGUGGUAUGCAGUUUGUACAUAUUGGCCUUGUGCAGUUAAGGCUGCAAAUACUACACCGACGAGAGGAGGGGACCUUAGCCCUUGUGAUAUUCAGAGGCAAUCGAUGGCAAGGGGACCAAGCUAUUUUUGCCACCAUGGAGGUUGAUUUGGCCACAGGCAGUCAGCUUAUUUAUGUGGUUCCUGAUAUUAUUACCACAAUAAGGGAUUUCUAUCAGAAUAUCCAGAUCUCAAUACAAACAAGGGGCUAUGAUAAUUGGCAAAAUGGAGAGGCCAAUUUAUUAAUUAUAAGGGGAAUUGUAGGGCGACUCUCCAACACACCCAAUGUUGGUUUUGCCUAUCAAGUCUAGCAUGUUGUAGAUUACCUGGCAAGUCGAGGUGUACGAGCUCUCCCUGGGAGAAGAUAUAAUGCUAAUGAGGCACAGGGACACAAUUGGAUUAUCCAGCAACCACAAAUGGUAUUCCCAAGGAUACUUACGGAGGGUUUGGAUCUUAGACAGAUCGAUAUACCUGAGAUCUCUUCUUGCUGCAUUGUGCUUUAUGAAUUAUAAAUCUGUCAUACAUGAUACUUGCAAGAGCAACACCCAUAUCAGCAGGCGUAUAUGGUUAUAAACUUUGUGAAGCGGGUCGUGGUCAUUGUCAGUUCAAUACUCUUGUUCAUGACUCAGUUUCCACCCAUGAACUCCCUUGGUACUGGCCAUUGCACCAGCAGGAUUUGUCUUCUACUCGAGCAAAAAGAAUCAAGUUAAAGAUUGUGUAGUUUUUUUUAUUUUUUAUUUUUUAUUUUUGUACGUCUUUGAGGAAAUUCUAACUCAUUCUAGAGAGUAUUCAUUUUUGUGCUCGUGAUGUUUGGAUGGGUUUGGGAUGAGAGCAAUUGUUUGCCUCUUUUAUAUCUGGAGGUUGAAUCUAACUGGGGCUCUUUUAGGAUCCUUUUAUUAGGGAUCGAACCACAGUAAAUCUAUUAUACGCUGUCUUAUAUUACAGUCUGUAAGAGAUUGCUUUUGCAAAAUGAACCCUGAUCUCAGGAUCACAUGGCAGCAAAA